GACGAACGCUGGCGGCGUGCUUAACACAUGCAAGUCGAACGGAAAGGCCCUGCUUUUGUGGGGUGCUCGAGUGCCGAACGGGUGAGUAACACGUGAGUAACCUGCACUUGACUUUGGGAUAACAUCAGGAAACUGGGGCUAAUACCGGAUAGGAGCUCCUGCUGCAUGGUGGGGGUUGGAAAGUUUCGGCGGUUGGGGAUGGACUAGCGGCUUAUCAGCUUGUUGGUGGGGUAGUGGCUUACCAAGGCUGUGACGGGUAGCCGGCCUUAGAGGUUGAACGGCCACAUUGGUACUGAGAGACGGCCCAGACGCCUACGGGAGGCAGCAGUGGGGAGUAUGGCACAAUGGGCGGAAGCCUGAUGCAGCAACGCCGCGUGCGGGAUGACGGCCUUCGAGUUGUAAACCUCUUUCGCCUGUGACGAAGCGUGCGUGACGGUAAUGGGUAAAGAAGCACCGGCUAACUACGUG
rnacentral:rRNA from 1 species